rnacentral:rRNA from 1 species
GACGAAGGGGGCUAGCGUUGUUCGGAAUUAUUGGGCGUAAAGCGCGCGCAGGCGGUUUCUUAAGUCUGAUGUGAAAGCCCACGGCUCAACCGUGGAGGGUCAUUGGAAACUGGGGAACUUGAGUGCAGAAGAGAAAAGCGGAAUUCCACGUGUAGCGGUGAAAUGCGUAGAGAUGUGGAGGAACACCAGUGGCGAAGGCGGCUUUUUGGUCUGUAACUGACGCUGAGGCGCGAAAGCGUGGGGAGCAAACAGG